AACAGUCGUAGUAGUUUCGAUCCGUGGCUACAGGACGACGCUGGCGGCACGCUUAACACAUGCAAGUCGAACGGAGUUAUUUAGAGCUUGCUUUGAAUAACUUAGUGGCGGACGGGUGAGUAACACGUGAGCAACCUGCCUUUAAGAGCGGAAUAGCUUCUGGAAACGGAUGGUAAUACCGCAUAACAUUACCGGAUCGCAUGAUCUGGUAAUCAAAGAUUUAUCGCUUAAAGAUGGGCUCGCGUCUGAUUAGAUAGUUGGUGGGGUAACGGCCUACCAAGUCGACGAUCAGUAGCCGGACUGAGAGGUUGAACGGCCACAUUGGGACUGAGACACGGCCCAGACUCCUACGGGAGGCAGCAGUGGGGAAUAUUGCACAAUGGGCGGAAGCCUGAUGCAGCGAUGCCGCGUGGAGGAAGAAGGUUUUCGGAUUGUAAACUCCUUUUAUCAGGGACGAUAAUGACGGUACCUGAAGAAAAAGCUCCGGCUAACUACGUGCC
rnacentral:rRNA from 1 species